CUAUAGGAAUUCCUAUAGGAAUUCCUAUAGGAUCCUAUAGGAAUUCCUAUAGGAAUUCCUAUAGGAUCCUAUAGGAAUUCCUAUAGGAAUUCCUAUU